GGCGGACGGGUGAGUAACGCGUGGGUAACCUGCCCUGUACAGGGGGAUAACAGCUGGAAACGGCUGCUAAUACCGCAUAAGCGCACGAGGAGACAUCUCCUUGUGUGAAAAACUCCGGUGGUACAGGAUGGGCCCGCGUCUGAUUAGCUGGUUGGCAGGGUAACGGCCUACCAAGGCAACGAUCAGUAGCCGGUCUGAGAGGAUGAACGGCCACAUUGGAACUGAGACACGGUCCAAACUCCUACGGGAGGCAGCAUG
rnacentral:rRNA from 1 species